GAGUUUGAUCAUGGCUCAGAUUGAACGCUGGCGGCAUGCCUUACACAUGCAAGUCGAACGGUAACAGGUCUUCGGAUGCUGACGAGUGGCGAACGGGUGAGUAAUACAUCGGAACGUGCCCAGACGUGGGGGGAUAACGAGGCGAAAGCUUUGCUAAUACCGCAUACGAUCUAAGGAUGAAAGCAGGGGACCGCAAGGCCUUGCGCGUUUGGAGCGGCCGAUGGCAGAUUAGGUAGUUGGUGGGAUAAAAGCUUACCAAGCCGACGAUCUGUAGCUGGUCUGAGAGGACGACCAGCCACACUGGGACUGAGACACGGCCCAGACUCCUACGGAGGCAGCAGUGGGAAUUUGGACAAUGGGCGAAAGGCCUGAUCCAGCAAUGCCGCGUGCAGGAUGAAG
rnacentral:rRNA from 1 species